CCAGGGAAACACAAUGUGCUCCACUGAUGGAGGAAACCUCACUAUCUCUGUCAGUCUCCUGAAAGGCAAUGUCCUGAUUCAAGAUCUUGGAAGGACAAUGGCUGCCCUCUGACAUGACUGAAAGACCCACAGCAUCACUUCAGUAGAAUUCCCACCAAAAAUGCCAAAGCUGAAGCCAAUCAUAAGGAAACAUCAGACAAACUCAAACUGAGGGACAUUUCACAAAGCAACCGGCCUGGAUGCCUCAAAACCAUCAAUGUCAUGAAAGAAUGAAGAACUGUUCCAGAUUAAAAGAGAUCAAAGGAACAUGACAACUGAAUGGAAUGUGUGAUCCAGGGGUUUUCUGUAGAUAAAGAUUAGACAACAGAAAUUUGUGAAUGUUAAUGUCCUGAUUUUUAUAAUUGUACUGUGGUUAUGUAAGAAAAUGCCUUUGGCUUCUAGCAAAAAUCCAAAACUAUUUCUCUAUAAAAGGCUGUCAUAUC